AUUGAACGCUGGCGGCAGGCCUAACACAUGCAAGUCGAGCGGAUGACAGGAGCUUGCUCCUGGAUUCAGCGGCGGACGGGUGAGUAAUGCCUAGGAAUCUGCCUGGUAGUGGGGGACAACGUUUCGAAAGGAACGCUAAUACCGCAUACGUCCUACGGGAGAAAGCAGGGGACCUUCGGGCCUUGCGCUAUCAGAUGAGCCUAGGUCGGAUUAGCUAGUUGGUGAGGUAAUGGCUCACCAAGGCGACGAUCCGUAACUGGUCUGAGAGGAUGAUCAGUCACACUGGAACUGAGACACGGUCCAGACUCCUACGGGAGGCAGCAGUGGGGAAUAUUGGACAAUGGGCGAAAGCCUGAUCCAGCCAUGCCGCGUGUGUGAAGAAGGUCUUCGGAUUGUAAAGCACUUUAAGUUGGGAGGAAGGGCAUUAACCUAAUACGUUAGUGUUUUGACGUUACCGACAGAAUAAGC
rnacentral:rRNA from 1 species